rnacentral:misc_RNA from 1 species
UACCAUCCAACGAGUCAAAGCCAGAAAAUGUAGAGUGAAAACAGUUUAAAGGAUAGUUAAUUGCGAAAAAUGGUGUGGGAUCGAACUCUGACCGAAUUUCCAAAAGGCUCUUGUUGAAAUCGAAAAUGCCUCCCGGUUGGGCCAAUGUCCGAUUGAAGUCGAGAGAAUCUCCAGUAAACAAUAUGCAAAACUCGGACAGCUCGAAGCUUCUUUCCAUCUUAAGUACCAAAUCAAGCAAAAAACAGGGAUUUUUCCCAUCGAUAGAUCCAGACGUUGUAAAAUGGAAACAGGACAUACGAUAUAAGGCUGCUAAAACCGUCAUAUCAACAUCAACAACGAUAAACCAUCUCCCUCGGGAUAUUCCAAUUGACGUCUUGGAACAAUAUAAUAACAGAAUACAUGGUGCUGACAAAAUAUUCAAUCUGCCUAAGGUUACAAUGAACUAUAGAGUCUCUCAUAAGAAAGCAGAGAGUCAGUUUAUACUUAAGGACAAUUCCGCUUACACAAUAACAAAGCCCGCAGCAUUCGGGGGCAUUAGUUCCGCAAGUAAUAUGAGCAAACCAAGUUUGGCCAUCAGCCAAGAUAGGAUGGUCGUGGCGAACAUGCCUGAUACCCUAAAACUUGUAAAAGACCACAGUCUCGUGUAUGUAUACCCAGGCAAUGCAGGACCUGGCAACGAGGAGACAUCUACAUUUCGAUUCCCCACACUUGAAGAUGCAAUCAAAGCUCAAGAACAGAAACGCUUGGACAAGAUGCAUCUUAAACAACUACAGAUUACGCGUAAAAAGGAACUGACACUCCCCGAUUUAAAGCUACACAAAGAUAACUCAAUAUUUAGACCAGAUCGAAUGAAUAACAACUUACCAACUAUCAAACAUCCAGAUCAUACAACUAACGUCCCAGAUCGAAAUUUAACUUUAGUUCCCGAAAUUAAGUCCCCAAUACCAGAAAAUGAGUCAUCAAAUGUAGAACAUAGAAGCGAAACGAUGGCAACUAUAAAUCUAGGAGAUAAUACUCCUCUGAGAGAUAUCAAGGACAAUGUACUGAGACAGAGAGCACUGACUAAAAAUAUCGCCCAAAAACUUGCCAAUAGUUCUAACUCACCUGGUAUAACAGUUCAAGAGCACACACGAGGAAAGGUGAAAUUACACAUUAAACAAAAUAUAAGUAAAAGAGUUGAACCCAUUGAUCAUUCUAAUUCUAAGGAAAAUCCCAACCAACCGACGCUUACUGUGUGCUUAUCUAAGCCUUUUGUUGAACCGAAACUCAUUCCUAAACCAAGGUCCAAACCAAGGCUAAAUCCGAUCCAAGACCACAUAACAAUAGUAAGAGCGAACAUUGAAAAAAUGCGCGAGCGAAUCGAAAAGCAAAAGCAGGAGUUACAAAGAGAGGUUGAAAAGAGAAAAAGGGUUCAUAUUGAACAAUCCACUCCCACGAAUGAGCAACAGAAACAUAUAAUACAAUAUUCGCGUAAAAGUCCAUAUCGAAGUACUCCUCAAAAUAAUUCAGAAAAACGUCAAAUCUUUCAAAAAGAGAAAAUAAGUUCAUUUUUGAGCGUCCCUGUAAAAGAGACUGGACAAUCAAUUGGACCUGCUGGUAAACAAAAUAUAAAUACGGACGACCCUGGGAAUCAUAUCAGCAACAAUCCCCUUACUUAUACAAUUGCUUUAAAUGACGAAAUUAUUGAAGCUGAUAUAAAAAUCAUUCCUGAGCCACUCCCAUCAAUAGCUAUUACCAGCGACCACACCUCAAGUAACGAUACUACUGAACACACCGAUCAUUUCAUAAGGGAACAGAGUUUAUUGUAUGAACAAACUAAAACUGAAGAGAAAAAAGUUACGAUGGACAUUGCGUUGCCUCAAAUCAAAGUAGAAACUGCUGAGACAAAGACGUCUAUAUCAUAUCAGCGAGAUUUCAGCCGAUGGCACACCGAUACAUCGAGGAAACAGUCCACAUUUCUCAAGGGUGAGGUGUUUGGGCCAAAUCAUCACACAUUAUUGCCUAUAUCUAUACCAACAGCUGGAGACGUAGUGGAAAGAACACCUCUUCAGAGUGAGGAAAACGAUGACAAUGACUACCAAAUUAAAGAGAAUGUUAUUGCUCAAGUACAAAUAGACAGUGAUGAUAUGAAAACGCUUGCAAACGAAGGCAACUAUCCCGAUGAUGCAAGUGAACGCGACGAGGUGGAAAAUGUCGAAAUAUCCCCGCAAGACAAUAUUCAUGUUGAGAAACGUAGUCCAGACAAUGGGCAAACUGGUGAGGUUAAAUCCUACAAUCAUUUUGACAACGAACAACAAGUUACAAAGAAAAAUGAAGAUGAGAAUACUGGAGUUCGAUUUGAUAACGUAAUAGAGAUCAGAGAACGGACAUAUGAGGCAGGACCACCAUCCAUGGACGGUUUCAGCUCAGACGAUGAAUCCAACUUAAAUGAUCUGAGUGAAUAUGAAUCAAGUGUGGACUGAGUCAUCACACGUUUUAGCUCUGAUAUACAUGUAUCAUCUUUAACAAUGAAUAAGGCAUUCCAGAGAUUUGAAUAUUUAUCAAAUGCAAUAUGAAUACAAAAACUUUCAUACACUUACAUAAUGAAACAAAUGCCCCCAGGAAGGACUUUUUGACAUAUUUGCACAUUGUUUUUGAGUGUAAUCGCGAUAUACCUUGAGCACUAUGUCAAUAUACAUUACACGAGUUAAAUUCAGCCACAUACACUGUUCUAAGAACAUUUAUCGUUCAACAAGGUCACUGGAAACAACGGGACAAAGCGUCAUUCAAAUGGAAACAAUGCUGAACGAUUUAAAACAUGAUCACCUCUUUAUAUGGACGACACGUUCAUGCAAUUAAGAGUCAUUUUCCUAUUUUCACUUUUGUCAUGAAAUGUGACUCAAUGCUUAUAUUACUUUUCGUGUUUUCCAAGAAAAUGUAGACUUCAUUCUUGUACUUUACCUCGCCUUUCUACCUCAUCUGAGCUAUGCGAUCGAGAAAGCCUCUGAGUUACCUGAUACAAAUAAUAUUGGAAGUAUAACCUCUGUUUGCUAUACUGCAUUU